CAGAUAAGGAUGAAGUGAUAGUAUUCUAAUCCAACACUUGAACUGAGGAUCUAAGAAGUCCAAGUGACGCAUCCGUUCUUUCGCUUCUGAAUCUGU